CGGCGCGAAACUUGUAUAGCGCCAUCUGUGGCGUUAAGAAAAUUUGUGCAACAGAAAGCCUAGUCAAAGGCAUCAGACUUGAUGUUUGUUACCAUAGAAUUCAUGACUUUGCUCCGGAUGAACAAAUAGUUGGUAAGCUACGAUACAUGAUUACUGUAGAUAACUGAUUUACUGUCAAAUAUAUGAAACUAGUAGUUUCAUAUGAUUGUUCAUUUCCUGUGAAUUAUGUGCAAAUAGUGAGUUGAUUUUGGAUGAUUAACGCAACGUUAUGUACAGAAGCCUAUGUGUUGCUAUGGGGCUAUGAAACGCAUUGCACCCAGGUAUGUGUCGUGCAUAAAGGGGUUUAUUCAUAUAAACAAGCUCUAAGAUGGUGCAUGAUUUAAUUCGUAUGAUAUGUUAUAGUGACUUGCACAGCUUGUAAGAGUUAAAAGAGGUUAAUUACCAUUAUAAGGAGUGUGUAGAACCGUUUCUGAGGGAAUAUUAUUGAUGUCAGUUGUAUAGGGUCUGGAAUCACAUAGACUACUUUGUAAUUGCUUAAUUAAGGGGGCAUUAUGAAGCCGUAUCUGUAGAACACCGUGCAUUACAGGCACAUUCUAAGCACAGGAAUUUAUGAAGAUAUAUAUAUCAAGCAGAGACAUAAAUGAAUACACUGUAUAGCUGGAUAGUUACAUUCUUUUUGGAGUUUAUUUCGUAUAUAAACAUCACGUUUUACGUUUAUAUGUCAAGAGUAUUUACAAGAUUCACUGUAAUGUAGACAGGGUUACAUGCAUUUAAUUCUGUUUAUAUGAUGCAUAUGUUUAUAAUGCUUUGUUACUUUGUUGUUGUUUACAGUGAACCGCUAAUUGGAUUGCUGAUGAUGAUUCGCUAAUUGGAUUGCUGAAGAUGAUGAUUCGCUAAUUGGAUUGCUGAAUCGCUAAAUGAAGAUGACUUGUUACAAAAGAACCGAAAUAAAGAGAAAUAAGAACUCAACAAGUCGUUUGCAACGUUUCCUUUAUUGGCGCGUUCACACAAAAGUUCACAACUUCGUUCUAGAUGUCGGAGAAGGUCCAAGCAAGCAACCAGCAUGAGGGGUCGGAAGCUGGAGAGCCAAAGAACGGCGUUGACGGGGAUGCAACGGCAAGGAGUGAAACCAGAGCAUCCAGGGACGCUGAAGUGAAAUCGAUGGCCUUCAGGGCGAGCAUCUCCUCAAGCGUGAAGAUGAGAGAAGCCGAGGUGAAGCGGCAGCUUGCUAGGAUGAAGGUAGUACAGCUACAGAGAGAACAUAAACUAAAACGAGAACAGUUUGAACUCAACGAAAAACUUGAUAGACUCAAGAUUGAAAAUGAACUUGAGAACGCCGAAGCUGAAGCAAAAUUGUGGCAAGAACAUGAAACAAAGCCACAAGAACUGUUACAAAUUCCAGAAGGUCAAACUCAGCAAAGAACUGCUGAAUGGUGUACAGGGAAUGUUGUACCGGUAGAUAUUUGUAAUGAGAAUCAGGAUGUUACUUCCCAAAGAGUGUUGGGUGAACAUACAAUGCCAAAUGCAUAUACAUGUAAUAAGAAUGUAAAUUCUGUAGAACAUAAUUUGUCUGAGAUGAUGAUGGCAAUGCACCUGCCCAAACCUGAUAUGACUUGUUUUUCCGGUAACCCUAUUGAUUAUUGGAGCUUUUGUAAUUGUUUUGAUGUUAACAUUGAGCACAAGGUGCAAGAUAACAGGAUGCGACUAACCUAUUUAAUACAAUUUUGUACAGGCAAGGCAAGGGAGGCUAUAGAGAAUUGUAUUUUGUUACAUCCCGAUACUGGAUAUUCAAGAGCUCGCAGCAUCCUACAAGAUCAAUUCGGACAGAACUACAUAGUAGCGAAGGCACACGUCGACAGGGUGAUCUGCCGAGCCAACCUGCGCCCAAGUGACAGUCAGGCCUUAUGGGAUCUAGCCAGAGAUAUGAGGAGAUGUCAAAUGUCCACAUCACAGAUGGGUUAUUCAGCGGACAUGAGCUCAACGGACACACUGCUUAAGAUACAGAGCCUUCUGCCUGUUCACCUACAAGCCAGGUGGGCAUCUAAGGCUCACGUAGCCAUGGAGCAGUCUGUAAUUCCCAACUUUAGCCAUAUGACAGACUUUAUCGAACAGGAGGCUAAGAUAGCAAGCAACGUGUUCGGGAAGAAUAUCGGACAGUCAUUCAAGUCAAGUUCAAGUGCAAAGCGACAGAAAGGGAGCGUGGGAGGCAGAGCUUCAUCCUUCGCAAUGGAAGGAGGAACUGACAGGCCUAAUAACAGAAAGGAAGCAUGUCCAUGCUGCAAGAAGGAGCACCAGUUGGAAACCUGUUUCAAGCUAAGGGACUUGCCUCAGAAGGAGAGAUUUAUCUUCCUAAAGAAGAGUGGCAUCUGUUUUAAUUGCCUUAAGAAGGCACACCUAGCAAGGAACUGUCCCUCAGACUCGACCUGUAAGAAAGAAGGAUGCAGUCUAAAAUGGAAACACCACACAUGGUUGCACUUUGAAAGGAAGGAAGGCCCCAACCAGAAGAACAAUGAAGACAGCCCAAGUCAGCAGAACGGGGCCGGAGUGACAACUGGUGUGGAAUGCCAUACAAUUAGAGGAAGAGCUGACGUACGCUUAAGAGUACUUCCUGUGAAGGUGCGUCAUGGAGCCAAGGAGGUUACGACUUGGGCACUCCUUGAUGAAGGAAGUGAUACGUCCCUUUGUGAAAAGAGACUUGCAGAGGAACUGGGAAUUGUCGGAGUCAACAAGGAAUUCAGGUUGACUACAAUCAAUGGAGUGAACACUCCAAGGAAAGGAAUGGAAGUUAGCAUGACCAUUCAAGGCUUGCAAGAAGACACUAAGAUCGAUGUGGACAGGAUGUGGACUGUUGAUGUUCUACCCAUAUCGUCCAGAAGUAUACCAUGUCAGGAAGAUGUCGAUAAGUGGCCUCAUCUUCAGGGCAUUCAACUAGUGACAGCAGGCCAAGCAAAGGUUCAGCUCCUGAUAGGAGGCGACACCCCAGAAGCAUUCUGGGUAGAGGAAGAAAGGAGGGGUCAAAAGAAAGAUCCCUAUGCGAUCAGAACGCCUUUGGGAUGGACGUUGAUUGGACCUGCAUCAAGCUCAAGUCACAGAAACUCGUACGGAAUUCACCACAUCUCAGCUGAGGAGCUUCAUAAUCAAGUGAAGCGGUUUUGGGAGAUGGACUCUGGUCCAGGAGAUGAAAGAGUUGGUGAAUCAGUGGAAGAUGUGAAGGCUAGAACCAUCAUGGAGAAAACUGUGAAGUAUAUAGAUGGACACUAUGAGAUCGGUUUGCCAUGGCGUCAGUGUCCACCAGUGUUACCCAACAACAGACAGCAAGCAGGUUCGAGACUGCAGAGCCUGAAGAAGCGGCUACAGAAGAAUGGUUCCCUUCACCAGAAGUAUUCCUCUGUAAUGGGGGAAUAUAUAAGAAAAGGAUUUGCCUGCAAGGUUGGCGAAGGCAGAGAGCCAGUAGGGCGUGUGUGGUACCUGCCACACCACCCAGUAAUUAAUCCGCUGAAGCCAGAUAAGCUACGGAUAGUUUAUGACUGUGCUGCUGAGUUUCAAGGGACUUCAUUGAACAGCCAGUUACUCCAGGGUCCAGACUACACUAACAAGCUGGUUGGUGUACUGCUGCGUUUCCGGCAAGACAAGAUAGCCCUCGCUAGUGACAUCGAAGGAAUGUUUCACCAAGUGAGAGUUUCACCACAGGAUAUCGAUGCACUGAGGUUCCUAUGGUGGGAGGAAGGAGACUUGGAGAAGCCCCCUGUAGAGUAUCAGAUGUUGGUGCACUUGUUUGGGGCAACAUCGUCGCCAAGCUGUGCUGGCUUUGCGAUUAACAAGACAGUGCAAGACAACAAGAGAGACUUUGAUGAAGGAGUAGCUGAGACAGUGUUGGACAAUUUCUAUGUGGAUGACUGUCUCAAGUCAGUUUCCACGAGAGAAGAGGCCAAGAAGCUCAUCCCUCAGCUGAAUGAGCUACUAAGAAGAGGUGGAUUUAGACUAACCAAGUGGGUUAGUAACGACAAGGAAGUCCUGUCUACAGUAGAGACAUCAGAAAGGGCAGCCUCUGUCGUUGAUUUAGACUUAGACCACUUACCGAUUGAGAGGACGCUUGGGAUCAUGUGGAACAUGGAGACAGACACAUUUAGCUUCAAGGUUAAACCCAAGGAAGUUCCAGCAACAAGAAGAGGGAUCCUAUCUUCAAUGAGUUCCCUCUAUGACCCGUUAGGAUUCGUCGCUCCAUUCAUAGUAACUGCCAAGAUACUUCUUCAAGAUUUGUGUGCCCAAGGCAAAGGUUGGGAUGAAGAAGUGGGCCAGGAGGAAUUACAGCGAUGGGAGAAGUGGUUGGCUGAAAUUCCAGAAUUAACAUCCAUCAACAUUGAGCGCUGUUACAAGCCAACAGACUUUGAAGGUGUUACCAAUGAGCUACACAUAUUUUGUGAUGCUUCAGAGCGAGCCUACGCAGCAUGUGCGUACUUGAGGAUCGUGGGUAAGGAAGGACAGAUUCACACUGCCUUUGUGAUGGGAAAGACCAGACUCUGUCCAUUAAAGAAGAUGACCAUACCGCGACUAGAGUUGUCAGCAGCAGUAUUGGCUGUUCAACUGUACCAAAUCAUUCAGGAAGAACUCAGAAUACCAAUUGACCGUGUGACAUACUGGACAGAUUCAACAUCGGUCCUGCUCUACAUCAGCAAUGAGAGUCGCAGGUUUCGUACCUUUGUGGCCAACAGGGUUGCGAAGAUCCACAAGAUCAGUGACAAACGACAGUGGAGACACGUCGACACCCUCAGGAACUCAGCAGAUGAUGGUUCACGGGGUAUCCCUGCAAGAAGCCUGGAUAGAUGGCUUACAGGACCUGAGUUCUUGUUACAAGAAAAGGAAGUCUGGCCGGAAGAUCCAGCAAGUUUGAAGAAGGAAGAUGUACCAGAACUUGAUCUUCAGAAUGACAGUGAGGUGAAGAAAACUCAUGUCUACGCUACCAGCUCACAUGACGAGAUAGAUGAUCUAAUGACAAGGUACUCAUCAUGGGAUCGUCUGAAGCGAGGAAUUGCAUGGCUACUACGGUACAAGCAAUACUUGCGGUCCAAAGGAACGGGCAACUUGGCAGAAAGAGGAAGCUUGACAGUUCAGGAAUUGAACAAUGCAGAGGUCGAAGUGAUCAAACACGUACAGAGACACUCAUUUCCUGAUGAGUACGUGAAGGGGAUAGAGAAGAAAACCAGGAAACAAGGAAAUCCCCUUGAGAAGCUGAAUCCUGUCAUGGUUGACGGACUGCUACGAGUAGGAGGGAGAUUAAGCAAGGCUCCUAUUCUGAAUGACGAGAAACAUCCAAUGAUUCUUCCCAACGAUCACCACGUUACCAAGCUUCUAGUGGUUCAUCAUCAUCAGAAGGUUGGACACUGUGGUAUGGGUUCGACAUGGACCUCUCUCAGAGAAAGAUUUUGGAUCAACAAGGGAGGUGCUACAGUCCGUCACACCAUAGGUAACUGCUUCAAAUGCAGGAAGCGUAAUGCUUCAAGAGGCCAGCAAUUCAUGGCUGAUUUGCCGGAAGAGAGAGUUACUCCGGGAGAACCACCUUUUACGAAUACAGGGCUUGAUUACUUUGGCCCAUUCCCGACGAAGCAUGGUCGCAGUACACAGAAGAGGUAUGGAUGUAUCUUUACAUGUUUAUCUACCAGGGCAGUGCAUCUUGAGAUGGCUUAUAGCUUGGAGACUGACUCAUUCAUACAAACACUGCGUCGCUUCAUCAACCGUAGAGGUCAACCCAAGGCUAUAUUCAGUGACAAUGGCACCAAUUUCAAGGGGGGUCAGAAGGAGCUAAAGGAUGCUCUUGCAGGGCUGAAUUCCGAGAGAGUGAACCGAUACCUCACACAGAAGGGCAUUGCAUGGCACUUCAACCCGCCAGGAGCAAGCCACAUGGGAGGUGUAUGGGAGAGGAUCAUACGGUCAGUGAGGAAAAUCUUGACCAGUCUCCCACAGCAGACGCUUACAGACGAAGCGCUACUUACCCUCUUCACAGAAGUAGAGGCAAUAUUGAAUGGAAGGCCUCUUACUCACCUGAGCAUGGACUCCAGAGAUGAUGAGCCAUUGACCCCGAAUCAUUUGUUGUUGCUUCGUAAGAACCCAAGUCUGCCACCAGGGAUCUUUGUGAAAGAAGACUGCCAUCUACGGAGACACUGGCGCCAAGUCCAGUACCUAGCAGGGCAGUUUUGGACCCGAUGGGUCAAGGAAUACUUACCCCUGUUGCAGCAACGUCAGAAAUGGACUAGACCAAACAGAAACUUUGAAGUCGACGAUCUGGUUCUAGUGGUCAACGAAAGUACCCCUCGUGGACAGUGGCCCAUCGGAAGAGUGUUAACGACCUAUCCAGACAAGCGUGGCCUUGUAAGACAAGUAGAGGUUCGAGUAGGGCCUCGAUAUUACAAGAGGCCAAUUUCAAAGCUGUGCCUCUUGGAAGCCAAUGUAGAGGCUUCUUCCUAAACACAACGAAGGUUGUUAUAUAUGAUGUGAAACAUUUAUAUGUUAUUGUUCAAAGAAUUUCUAACAUUACUAACUUGCAUGUAUGUCACAGUUUGAAUUGUUUAUGCAAACAGUUUUGACAAGAUUUGUGAAAGUUAAAUGGAUGUUUGUUUUUGCUUUCAGAUAUUUUACAGGUAUCGUCAUUGCGUUAAUGCAUACCAAAUGUUACUGUAAUUCAUUCAUAGUUUAAUGCAUGCCGCUUUAUGGUAAUGUAGAAAAUGAUUUAAGGAUAGGUAAAUCAUUUGGGGCCGGAAUGUAGCGGCGCGAAACUUGUAUAGCGCCAUCUGUGGCGUUAAGAAAAUUUGUGCAACAGAAAGCCUAGUCAAAGGCAUCAGACUUGAUGUUUGUUACCAUAGAAUUCAUGACUUUGCUCCGGAUGAACAAAUAGUUGUGAACCGCUAAUUGGAUUGCUGAUGAUGAUUCGCUAAUUGGAUUGCUGAAGAUGAUGAUUCGCUAAUUGGAUUGCUGAAUCGCUAAAUGAAGAUGACUUGUUACAAAAGAACCGAAAUAAAGAGAAAUAAGAACUCAA